GGAAUAUUGGACAAUGGGCGCAAGCCUGAUCCAGCCACGCCGCGUGAGUGAUGAAGGCCUUCGGGUCGUAAAGCUCUGUGGGGAGAGACGAACCGCCGGUGGCUACUACCCAUCGGCACGACGGUCUCCCCUUAGCAACCACCGGCUAACUUCGUGCCAGCAGCCGCGGUAAUACGAAGGGUGCAAACGUUGCUCGGAAUCAUUGGGCGUAAAGCGCACGUAGGCGGCUCCAAAAGUCGGAUGUGAAAUCCCUCGGCUCAACCGAGGACGUGCAUCCGAAACUGCGGAGCUUGAGUAUGGAAGAGGGUCGCGGAAUCCCCGGUGUAGAGGUGAAAUUCGUAGAUAUCGGGGGGAACACCAGUGGCGAAGGCGGCGACCUGGGCCAAUACUGACGCUGAGGUGCGAAAGCGUGGGGAGCAAAC
rnacentral:rRNA from 1 species